CCUACGGGAGGCAGCAGUGAGGAAUAUUGGUCAAUGGGCGGGAGCCUGAACCAGCCAUGCAGCGUGAAGGCGAGUGCCCUACGGGCGUUAAACUUCUUUUGUGCGGGAGCAAAAAGGGCCACGCGUGGCACGAUGAGAGUACCGCACGAAUAAGCAUCGGCUAACCCCGUGCCAGCAGCCGCGGUAAUACGGGGGAUGCGAGCGUUAUCCGGAUUUAUUGGGUGUAAAGGGUGCGUAGGAGGAGCUUCAGGGUAGGUGUGAAAUACCUGGGCUCAACCCCGGAGCUGCCGUUGAAACCGGAACGCUAGAAUUCCGAUGACGUCGGAGGAAUGUGUGGUGUAGCGGUGAAAUGCAUAGAUAUCACACAGAACACCGAUUGCGAAGGCAUCUGACGAAUCGGAGAUUGACGCUGAUGCACGAAAGCGUGGGUAUCGAACAGGAUUAGAUACCCCUGUAGUC
rnacentral:rRNA from 1 species